rnacentral:rRNA from 1 species
CCUACGGGUGGCAGCAGUGGGGAAUUUUGCGCAAUGCGCGAAAGCGUGACGCAGCGACGCCGCGUGAAUGACGAAGGCCUUCGGGUCGUAAAGUUCUUUCGGCAGGGAAGAAAAUGCAUAUAAGUAACUGUGUAUGUAUUGACGGUACCUGUAUAAGCAGCCCCGGCUAACUCCGUGCCAGCAGCCGCGGUAAUACGGAGGGGGCGAGCGUUGUUCGGAGUGACUGGGCGUAAAGAGCACGUAGGCGGUGUUGUAAGUCAUUGGUCAAAGACUAGAGCUCAACUUUAGUAAGGCUAGUGAAACGAGAAAACUAGAGUAUCAGAGAGGAUUGCAGAAUUCCAGGUGUAGCGGUGAAAUGCGUAGAUAUCAGGAGGAAUACCGUUAGCGAAGGCGACAAUCUGGCUGGAAACUGACGCUGAGGUGCGAAAGCGUGGGUAGCAAACAGGAUUAGAUACCCCAGUAGUC